GGCUCAGGAUGAACGCUAGCGACAGGCUUAACACAUGCAAGUCGAGGGGCAGCACAGGUAGCAAUACUGGGUGGCGACCGGCGCACGGGUGCGUAACGCGUAUGCAACCUACCUAUAAUAGGGGGAUAGCCUUCUGAAAGGGAGAUUAAGACCGCAUAAUACAACUGAAUCGCAUGGAUUAGUUGUAAAAUAUUUAUAGAUUAUAGAUGGGCAUGCGUCUGAUUAGAUAGUUGGAGAGGUAACGGCUCACCAAGUCAACGAUCAGUAGGGGUUCUGAGAGGAAGGUCCCCCACACCAGAACUGAGACACGGUCCGGACUCCUACGGGAGGCAGCAGUGAGGAAUAUUGGUCGAUGGGCGAGAGCCUGAACCAGCCAAGUCGCGUGAAGGAAGAAGGUCUUAUGGAUUGUAAACUUCUUUUAUAGGGGAAUAAAGAUGAGUACGUGUACUCAGUUGUAGGUACCCUAAGAAUAAGGAUCGGCUAGCUCCGUGCCAGCAGCCGCGGUAAUACGGAGGAUCCGAGCGUUAUCCGGAUUUAUUGGGUUUAAAGGGUGCGUAGGCGGGUUGAUAAGUCAGUGGUGAAAGGUUUGCGCUCAACGUAGACAUUGCCAUUGAAACUGUCAGUCUUGAGUACAAAUGAGGUAGGCGGAAUGUGUUGUGUAGCGGUGAAAUGCAUAGAUAUGACACAGAACACCAAUUGCGAAGGCAGCUUACUGGGAUGUAACUGACGCUGAG
rnacentral:rRNA from 1 species